rnacentral:rRNA from 1 species
UGAUGACGAGACGCUAAGGCGUUGAAGCAGUGUAUGUCAGACUUCCAAGAAAAGCUCGCAAUGUCACAAAUAAAAAGUGCCUGUACCAUAACCGACACAGGUGGGUAGGUAGAGUAUACUAAGGGGCGCGAGAUAACUCUCUCUAAGGAACUCGGCAAGAUGACUCCGUAACUUCGGGAGAAGGAGUGCCUUAUUUAUAAGGUUGCAAUAACAAGAUCCAAGCAACUGUUUAUCAAAAACACAGGUCUCCGCUAAGUCGUAAGACGAUGUAUGGGGGCUGACGCCUGCCCAGUGCCAGAAGGUUAAAGAAGUUGGUUAGUGUAUGCGAAGCUGAUGACUGAAGCCCUGGUGAACGGCGGCCGUAACGAUAACGGUCCUAAGGUAGCAAAAUUCCUUGUCGGGUAAGUUCCGACCCGCACGAAAGGCGUAAUGAUUUGGAUACUGUCUCGGAGAGAGGCUCGGUGAAAUAGACUUGUCUGUGAAGAUGCGGACUACCUGCACCAGGACAGAAAGACCCUAUGAAGCUUUACUGUAACUUGAAAUUGGAAUUGGACUUUGCUUGCGCAGUAUAGGUGGGAAGCGUUGAAAAUAUUCUUGCGGGAGUAUUGGAGCUAUCAGUGAGAUACCACUCUUGUAAUGUUAGAUUUCUAACUUUGAACCAUAAUCUGGUCAAAGAACAGUUUCAGGUGGGCAGUUUGACUGGGGCGGUCGCCUCCCAAAUGGUAACGGAGGCGUACAAAGGUUUCCUCUGAACGGAUAGAAAUCGUAUCUAGAGUGUAAAGGCAUAAGGAAGCUUGACUGUGAGACCUACAAGUCGAGCAGGGACGAAAGUCGGUCUUAGUGAUCUGACGGUACUGAGUGGAAAGGCCGUCACUCAACGGAUAAAAGUUACUCUAAGGAUAACAGGCUGAUCUCCCCCAAGAGUUCACAUCGACGGGGAGGUUUGGCACCUCGAUGUCGGCUCAUCGCAUCCUGGGGCGGUAGUACGUCCCAAGGGUUGGGCUGUUCGCCCAUGAAAGCGGUACGCGAGCUGGGUUCAGAACGUCGUGAGACAGUUCGGUCCAUAUCCGGUGUAGGCGCUAGAAUAUUGAGAGGAGCCUUCUUUAGUACGAGAGGACCGAGAAGGACACACCGCUGGUGUACCAGUUAUCGUGCCAACGGUAAACGCUGGGUAGCUAUGUGUGGAGUGGAUAACCGCUGAAAGCAUCUAAGUGGGAAGCCCACCUCGAGAUGAGUA